GAUGAACGCUGGCGGCGUGCCUAAUACAUGCAAGUCGAGCGAACAGAUGAGGAGCUUGCUCCUCUGACGUUAGCGGCGGACGGGUGAGUAACACGUGGAUAACCUACCUAUAAGACUGGGAUAACUUCGGGAAACCGGAGCUAAUACCGGAUAAUAUAUUGAACCGCAUGGUUCAAUAGUGAAAGACGGUUUUGCUGUCACUUAUAGAUGUAUCCGCGCCGCAUUAGCUAGUUGGUAAGGUAACGGCUUACCAAGGCAACGAUGCGUAGCCGACCUGAGAGGGUGAUCAGCCACACUGGAACUGAGACACGGUCCAGACUCCUACGGGAGGCAGCAGUAGGGAAUCUUCCGCAAUGGGCGAAAGCCUGACGGAGCAACGCCGCGUGAGUGAUGAAGGUCUUCGGAUCGUAAAACUCUGUUAUUAGGGAAGAACAAAUGUGUAAGUAACUAUGCACGUCUUGACGGUACCUAAACAGAAAGCCACGGCUAACUACGUG
rnacentral:rRNA from 1 species